rnacentral:rRNA from 2 species
CAUGCAGUCGAGCGGAGAGUGGAGCUUGCUCCAUGAUUCAGCGGCGGACGGGUGAGUAAUGCCUAGGAAUCUGCCUGGUAGUGGGGGACAACGUUUCGAAAGGAACGCUAAUACCGCAUACGUCCUACGGGAGAAAGUGGGGGAUCUUCGGACCUCACGCUAUCAGAUGAGCCUAGGUCGGAUUAGCUAGUUGGUGAGGUAAAGGCUCACCAAGGCGACGAUCCGUAACUGGUCUGAGAGGAUGAUCAGUCACACUGGAACUGAGACACGGUCCAGACUCCUACGGGAGGCAGCAGUGGGGAAUAUUGGACAAUGGGCGAAAGCCUGAUCCAGCCAUGCCGCGUGUGUGAAGAAGGUCUUCGGAUUGUAAAGCACUUUAAGUUGGGAGGAAGGGCAGUAAGUUAAUACCUUGCUGUUUUGACGUUACCAACAGAAUAAGCACCGGCUAACUUCGUGCCAGCAKCCGCGGUAAUACRAAGGGUGCAAGCGUUAAUCGGAAUUACUGGGCGUAAAGCGCGCGUAGGUGGUUCGUUAAGUUGGAUGUGAAAGCCCCGGGCUCAACCUGGGAACUGCAUCCAAAACUGGCGAGCUAGAGUAUGGCAGAGGGUGGUGGAAUUUCCUGUGUAGCGGUGAAAUGCGUAGAUAUAG